CAGUCGGAACUGUAAACUCUGAAAGCCCGAUGCUGGCGAUAGGUACUCUCUGAGAAUAAAUGAGAGACCGGGAUAAAAAAGAGCAAGGGAGAGAUGAGAUCGUAUAACCCUGUACGGUUCCUUCCAAAGAGAGGGUUUGUCAGAAUAUCCAUCAGAAGCAGAGAGCUGCCUGGAAUUCUACCUAAGGAGCCCCUUACAGAAAUAAAAACGAGGAACUUAAGCAUCAUUGUCACUGUGAACUAUUUUGAAGUUGGAUAGUUUCCAGCUAUGCAAUGUCAUAUAUUUUAAUAUAUGUAACACAUCUUUCAUUGUAAUUAAUUUAUAGACACAGUAGAUUAUAUAAAUUUUCCAUAGGAAUAUAUUGAAUAAAUAUACACAUAAACAAUAGUGUGCAUCUGUGUCAUACUUUUCUAAGAGAAAAGACAGGUGGACGUUAGGAAAUUGUAUUUUCCACAGUGGCAAAAGAUAAUACACAAAUAUUAUUUAAUCCCUCCUACCAAAGCUAAUCAUGGAUAUUAUCAACCAUCUUCCUACCCAGAUGAAUGUUCGUGAGAUAAAGUAAGUACAAACAAUGAGAUGUUGCCUGACACAGACAAAAAUGUGAUCAAACCAUCAAGAACCUUACAUCUUCUAACUCCAACCAGAAUGAGAGGGUGAACCCUAUUACACUCUAAACUGGGAAGUGCACACCUGAAGUCGUUGAAGUCCAAGGCGGUCAUUGUUUCCAGCACAGAGAACUGCUGCACCAGGAGCUUGAAGAUGACCACCACACGGUGCAUCCGCGUCAUCACCUUCAGCAUGUUCCUCUCAUCCCUGACCUGAUGUGGAAGGAAGAAACUCCAAGUUGUCGGUUGGAUUGAGAGAAGUUACCAAACAGAUCAUGAAUGGCAAUAAUCACAGAUGUGUUCAGGUGUAGCAGAGAAAAAAAACAUACCACUGUGUGGAGCCUGGAAGACAGGCAUGGAAGCUAAGGAAGUCAGCAAAUGAGAAAAAAAGCUAUGAAACUUUGUUUACAUCUGAUCUUUGUCUACAGGGAUGCCAUUUCCCUCCAGAAUCCGUUGCUGCAUUGGUUCCGGACCCAGGCAGAACACUGCAGUCACAGGAGUAUUCAUGCAUGCCUGUGUGCAUAUGUGUGGUGGAGGAUGCUGUUCGUGUCUUGGUACAGAAAAGCAGAUCAAGGACAAAAAUUAAAAACCAGAAAAAGGUAAAACUUCCAAAGUCCAGCCUUCAGUGACACCUUUGUUCCAGUGAUCCUGUCACUCAUAGUUUCCAACCCUUCCUAAAAUAGUACCAUGAGAUGGAUACUGAUGGGUUAGCCCAUCAACCAGUGGAAGAUAUUUCAUAAUCAAAUCAUAACUUUUUAAAAUUCUCAUGACUAAUUUAUCACCGCCUUAUGUUUGCAAAGUUGCCUGUAUAAAUGAUUACAGAACACUUAUUAUUAAAGUGUAAAAACAACAUGACACUAUAUUUGAAAUGCUUUUUCUAUUCCAGGCACUCUGCUGAAGUUAUUUUAUUUCUCACUAAAUUAAUAAGUUUAUUAAUUUUCUGGCAUCCAGGUUUUGUUCUUGAUUUUAAGAUGAGUUUUCUCUCCAGAAAGUCCUGAAAGUUCCAGAAUCAUCAACCCUCCCUGCUUCAGCUUCCUGAGUGUAGCAACAGGGUGUUAUGUCUCCUCAACCAGUUUGUUCCUGUGAUGAGUCCUCUGAGAAGUAACAUUGCCUAGACUGCAUUAGCUGUCCAUUAACAGAGCAAUACAUAAAUCAAGCAUUUCAUGUGACGUCAAUGCUCCUUUUACACAGACUGCUACAUAAUUCACAAUGAUUAGAUUAUAACUUUACUAAUUCUCCUCUUUGUAAAGCAUAAAUGUUUUACAUUGUUGAACAACUAAAAAAGCCUUAAAUUAUCUUGUCCAAUAAAUAAACUCAUUUUAUGAUUA